rnacentral:lncRNA from 1 species
AAGCACCAUUGCCAACGAGGCUUUGUGAGUCGAUGAACAGGCCCGCUGCACGCAGCAAGGCACAUGUCGCUGUAGCACGUCGACCGGGGGACGUCCCCGUUCUGUCUUGGACCAAGAUUUGUCGCCUCCCAUCAACAAAGUUGGAGAGGAACGACAGAUCCACCACCUUCGGACCGGCAUCCUCGCUCCAGAAGAACCACCUCGCCCCGGCCGCCAG